GAUGAACGCUGGCGGCGUGCCUAACACAUGCAAGUCGAACGAAGUAUAUAUAGGAAGUCUUCGGAUGGAAUAUGUAUAACUUAGUGGCGGACGGGUGAGUAACGCGUAAGUAAUCAACCUGUGACACACGGAUAACUGAUAGAAAUGUCAGCUAAUACGAGAUGAACUGUUUAGAUUGGGAGAUGGAAACAGCAAAGCGAAAGCGGUCACAGACGAGCUUGCGUCUGAUUAGCUAGUUGGUGGGGUAAGAGCCUACCAAGGCGACGAUCAGUAGCCGGCCUGAGAGGGUGAACGGCCACAUUGGAACUGAGACACGGUCCAAACUCCUACGGGAGGCAGCAGUGGGGAAUAUUGCACAAUGGGGGGAACCCUGAUGCAGCAACGCCGCGUGAGUGAAGAAAGGCCCUAGGGGUCGUAAAAGCUCUGUCGUAUGGGAAAG
rnacentral:rRNA from 1 species